rnacentral:rRNA from 1 species
CAGCCGCCGCGGGAACACGUAGGUGGCAAGCGUUGUCCGGAAUUAUUGGGCGUAAAGGGCUCGCAGGCGGUUUCUUAAGUCUGAUGUGAAAGCCCCCGGCUCAACCGGGGAGGGUCAUUGGAAACUGGGAAACUUGAGUGCAGAAGAGGAGAGUGGAAUUCCACGUGUAGCGGUGAAAUGCGUAGAGAUGUGGAGGAACACCAGUGGCGAAGGCGACUCUCUGGUCUGUGACUGACGCUGAGGAGCGAAAGCGUGGGGAGCGAACAGGAUUAGAUACCCCUGUAGUCCCUGUCUCUUAUAC